UACGUAGGUGGCAAGCGUUAUCCGGAAUUAUUGGGCGUAAAGCGCGCGCAGGCGGUUUCUUAAGUCUGAUGUGAAAGCCCACGGCUCAACCGUGGAGGGUCAUUGGAAACUGGGGAACUUGAGUGCAGAAGAGAAAAGCGGAAUUCCACGUGUAGCGGUGAAAAUGCGUAGAGAUGUGGAGGAACACCAGUGGCGAAGGCGGCAUCCUGGACCAACACUGACGCUGAGUGAGCGAAAGCCAGGGGAGCAAACGGG
rnacentral:rRNA from 1 species